rnacentral:ncRNA from 2 species
GCUAGCGUUCAUCGCGAUGGUCCUUCCACAUGGAAGGUGAAAAGGGAAGCCGGUUUUCAAAUCCGGCGCUGCCCCCGCAACUGUAAGCGAGAGCCUCGAGCCAUGAGGCACCUUGCGCCGAGACCACUGGGAUGUUCCCGGGAAGGCGGCGACGAGGGCACAACUCGCAAGCCAGGAGACCUGCCAUCGAUAGUGGUGCUUU